rnacentral:rRNA from 1 species
UAGGGAAUCUUCCGCAAUGGGCGAAAGCCUGACGGAGCAACGCCGCGUGAGUGAUGAAGGUCUUCGGAUCGUAAAACUCUGUUAUUAGGGAAGAACAAAUGUGUAAGUAACUAUGCACGUCUUGACGGUACCUAAUCAGAAAGCCACGGCUAACUACGUGCCAGCAGCCGCGGUAAUACGUAGGUGGCAAGCGUUAUCCGGAAUUAUUGGGCGUAAAGCGCGCGUAGGCGGUUUUUUAAGUCUGAUGUGAAAGCCCACGGCUCAACCGUGGAGGGUCAUUGGAAACUGGAAAACUUGAGUGCAGAAGAGGAAAGUUGAAUUCCAUGUGUAGCGGUGAAAUGCGCAGAGCUAUGGUGGAACACCAGUGGCGAAGGCGACUUUCUGGUCUGUAACUGACGCUGAUGUGCGAAAGCGUGGGGAUCAAACAGG